AUAAUGUAUGAAAGGAGAGAAGGUUAGCAUUCUCCUUGGUAAGAAUGGAAGAGGCCCCUGGGCAUUAUAACAUGCAUAAAGUUAAGGCAUUGCCACCCACUUUGUGGCAUUUAACUAAAGUUUGGA
rnacentral:ncRNA from 1 species